UACGUAGGUGGCAAGCGUUAUCCGGAAUUAUUGGGCGUAAAGCGCGCGCAGGUGGUUUCUUAAGUCUGAUGUGAAAGCCCACGGCUCAACCGUGGAGGGUCAUUGGAAACUGGGAGACUUGAGUGCAGAAGAGGAAAGUGGAAUUCCAUGUGUAGCGGUGAAAUGCGUAGAGAUAUGGAGGAACACCAGUGGCGAAAGGCGACUUUCUGGUCUGUAACUGACACUGAGGCGCGAAAGCGUGGGGAGCAAACAGGGAUUGAG
rnacentral:rRNA from 1 species